ACGGGAGGCAGCAGUGGGGAAUAUUGCACAAUGGGCGCAAGCCUGAUGUAGCGAUGCCGCGUGAGGGAAGAAGGUUUUCGGAUUGUAAACCUCUGUCAACAGGGACGAAAAUGACGGUACCUGUGAAGGAAGCUCCGGCUAACUACGUGCCAGCAGCCGCGGUAAUACGUAGGGAGCAAGCGUUAUCCGGAUUUACUGGGUGUAAAGGGCGUGUAGGCGGGACUGUAAGUCAGAUGUGAAAUAUGCCGGCUCAACUGGCAGACUGCAUUUGAAACUGCGGUUCUUGAGUGAAGUAGAGGUAAGCGGAAUUCCUAGUGUAGCGGUGAAAUGCGUAGAUAUUAGGAGGAACAUCAGUGGCGAAGGCGGCUUACUGGGCUUUAACUGACGCUGAGGCUCGAAAGCGUGGGGAGCAAACAGGAUUAGAUACCCUGGUA
rnacentral:rRNA from 1 species